rnacentral:rRNA from 1 species
AGAGUUUGAUUCUGGCUCAGGAUGAACGCUAGCUACAGGCUUAACACAUGCAAGUCGAGGGGCAGCAUGUGGUUGCUUGCAACCAAUGAUGGCGACCGGCGCACGGGUGAGUAACGCGUAUCCAACCUUCCCUUAGUAGGGCAUAGCCCGUAGAAAUGCGGAUUAAUACCCUAUGUUGUAUAUUGAGGACAUCUGAUUUAUACCAAAGGUUUUACCGCUAAGGGAUGGGGAUGCGUCUGAUUAGGUAGUCGGCGGGGUAACGGCCCACCGAGCCUACGAUCAGUAGGGGUUCUGAGAGGAAGGUCCCCCACAUUGGAACUGAGACACGGUCCAAACUCCUACGGGAGGCAGCAGUGAGGAAUAUUGGUCAAUGGACGAGAGUCUGAACCAGCCAAAGUAGCGUGCAGGAUGACGGCCCUAUGGGUUGUAAACUGCUUUUAUACGGGGAUAAAGUGACCCACGUGUGGGUUUUUGUAGGUACCGUAUGAAUAAGGACCGGCUAAUUCCGUGCCAGCCGCCGC